GACGAACGCUGGCGGCGUGCCUAAUACAUGCAAGUCGAACGCAGUGGGGACGGGUGAGUAACACGUGGGUAACCUCCCAUCAGAGGGGAUAACACUUGGAAACAGGUGCUAAACCGAUAAUGCUGGAUGGACCCGCGGGGCAUUAGCUAGUUGGGGAGGUAACGGGUCACCAAGGCCACGAUGCAUAGCCGACCCGCGAGGGUGUGCUGCCACACUGGGACGGAGACACGGCCCCGCAUCCUACUGGAGGCAGCCGUAGGGAAGCUUCGGCAAUGGACGAAAGUCUGACCGAGCAACGCCGCGUGAGUGAAGAAGGUUUUCGGAUCGUAAAACUCUGUUGUUAGAGAAGCGGUAUCUAGCCAGAGAGCCACGGCUAACUACGUGCCAGCAGCCGCGGUAAUAC
rnacentral:rRNA from 1 species